AGUGAACGCUGGCGGUAGGCCUAACACAUGCAAGUCGAACGGCAGCACAGUAAGAGCUUGCUCUUACGGGUGGCGAGUGGCGGACGGGUGAGGAAUACAUCGGAAUCUACUUUUUCGUGGGGGAUAACGUAGGGAAACUUACGCUAAUACCGCAUACGACCUACGGGUGAAAGCAGGGGAUCUUCGGACCUUGCGCGAUUGAAUGAGCCGAUGUCGGAUUAGCUAGUUGGCGGGGUAACGGCCCAACGAGGCGACGAUCGGUAGCCGGCCUGGGAGGAUGGCCGGGCUCCCGGCUCCUGCGAGAGGGACCAGACUCCUAUAUGAGGCAGCGGUGGCAAGCAUUACCCAACGGUCCCACGCGUGAUAAAGCGGCGCCGGGUUUGUAAUGCCCGUCUUUGGGUAAUAAAACGCUGUCGGUUGGGAACCCGCUGUAGUGACGGUACCUAAAGAAGAAGCACCGGCUAACUACGUG
rnacentral:rRNA from 1 species